rnacentral:rRNA from 1 species
UACGUAGGGGGCAAGCGUUAUUCGGAAUUAUUGGGCGUAAAGGGCGCGUAGGCGGUCGUGCAAGUGGAAGGUGAAAUCCCUCGGCUCAACCGAGGAACUGCCUUUCAAACUGCAUGACUUGAGUCCGGGAGAGGUGAGUGGAAUUCCCAGUGUAGCGGUGAAAUGCGUAGAUAUUGGGAGGAACACCAGUGGCGAAGGCGGCUCACUGGACCGGAACUGACGCUGAGGCGCGAAAGCGUGGGGAGCAAACGGG